rnacentral:rRNA from 1 species
AAUGAACGUUGGCGGCGUGGAUUAGGCAUGCAAGUCGAGCGCGAACCCCGCAAGGGGUGAAAGCGGCGAAAGGGAGAGUAACGCGUGGGUAUCUGCCCUCGGGACUGGGAUAGCUGCGGGAAACUGCAGGUAAUACCAGAUGACGUCCCCGGACCAAAGGUGUGGUUCCGCCCGAGGAUGAGCCCGCGUCCUAUUAGCUAGUUGGUAGGGUAAUGGCCUACCAAGGCAAUGAUGGGUACUGGGUGUGAGAGCACGACCCAGCUCACUGGGACUGAGACACUGCCCAGACACCUACGGGUGGCUGCAGUCGAGAAUCUUCGGCAAUGGGCGAAAGCCUGACCGAGCGACGCCGCGUGUGGGAUGAAGGCCUUCGGGUUGUAAACCGCUGUCAGAGGGGAGGAAUGGGCGGAGGGUAAUCUCUUCGUUUUGACCUAUCCUCAGAGGAAGUACGGGCUAAGUUCGUGCCAGCCGCCGCGGUAA